GAUGAACGCUGACAGAAUGCUUAACACAUGCAAGUCAACUUGAACUUCGGUUUGGGUGGCGGACGGGUGAGUAACGCGUAAAGAACUUGCCUCACAGCUAGGGACAACAUUUGGAAACGAAUGCUAAUACCUGAUAUUAUGAUUAUAUGGCAUCGUAUAAUUAUGAAAGCUAUAUGCGCUGUGAGAGAGCUUUGCGUCCCAUUAGCUAGUUGGAGAGGUAACAGCUCACCAAGGCGAUGAUGGGUAGCCGGCCUGAGAGGGUGAUCGGCCACAAGGGGACUGAGACACGGCCCUUACUCCUACGGGAGGCAGCAGUGGGGAAUAUUGGACAGUGGACCGAGAGUCUGAUCCAGCAAUUCUGUGUGCACGAUGAAGUUUUUCGGAAUGUAAAGUGCUUUCAGUUGGGAAGAAAAAAAUGACGGUACCAACAGAAGAAGAGACGGCUAAAUACGUG
rnacentral:rRNA from 1 species